rnacentral:rRNA from 1 species
GAUGAACGCUAGCGGCAGGCUUAAUACAUGCAAGUCGAACGGUAAGUUUGGUAGCAAUAUCAAACCAAGAGUGACGUACGGGUGCGUAACACGUAUGCAACCUACCUUGUACAGGAGUAUAGCUCGGGGAAACUCGAAUUAACCCUCCAUGAGAUCAUAGAAUGGCAUCAUUUAGUGAUUAAAACUCAGGUGGUACAAGAUGGGCAUGCGUCUGAUUAGUUAGUUGGCGGGGUAAUGGCCCACCAAGACGAUGAUCAGUAGGGGACCUGAGAGGGUGAUCCCCCACACUGGCACUGAGAUACGGGCCAGACUCCUACGGGAGGCAGCAGUAGGGAAUAUUGGACAAUGGGCGAAAGCCUGAUCCAGCCAUGCCGCGUGAGUGAAGAAGG